GAAGAGCCCAAACCAACAAGCUUGCUUGUUGGGGUUGUAGGACACUCUAUACGGAGUUACAAAGGACGACAUUAGACGAAUCAUCUGGAAAGAUGAAUCAAAGAAGGUAAUAAUCCUGUAGUCGAAAAUGUUGUCUCUCUUGAGUGGAUCCUGAGUACGACGGAGCACGUGAAAUUCCGUCGGAAUCUGGGAGGACCAUCUCCUAAGGCUAAAUACUCUCUAGUGACCGAUAGUGAACCAGUACCGUGAGGGAAAGGUGAAAAGCACCCCGGAAGGGGAGUGAAAUAGAACCUGAAACCGUGUGCUUACAAGUAGUCAGAGCCCGUUAAUGGGUGAUGGCGUGCCUUUUGUAGAAUGAACCGGCGAGUUACGAUUUGAUGCAAGGUUAAGCAGUAAAUGUGGAGCCGUAGCGAAAGCGAGUCUGAAUAGGGCGUUUAGUAUUUGGUCGUAGACCCGAAACCAGGUGAUCUACCCUUGGUCAGGUUGAAGUUCAGGUAACACUGAAUGGAGGACCGAACCGACUUACGUUGAAAAGUGAGCGGAUGAACUGAGGGUAGCGGAGAAAUUCCAAUCGAACCUGGAGAUAGCUGGUUCUCUCCGAAAUAGCUUUAGGGCUAGCCUCAAGUGAUGAUUAUUGGAGGUAGAGCACUGUUUGGACGAGGGGCCCCUCUCGGGUUACCGAAUUCAGACAAACUCCGAAUGCCAAUUAAUUUAACUUGGGAGUCAGAACAUGGGUGAUAAGGUCCGUGUUCGAAAGGGAAACAGCCCAGACCACCAGCUAAGGUCCCAAAAUAUAUGUUAAGUGGAAAAGGAUGUGGCGUUGCCCAGACAACUAGGAUGUUGGCUUAGAAGCAGCCAUCAUUUAAAGAGUGCGUAAUAGCUCACUAGUCGAGUGACACUGCGCCGAAAAUGUACCGGGGCUAAACAUAUUACCGAAGCUGUGGAUUGUCCUUUGGACAAUGGUAGGAGAGCGUUCUAAGGGCGUUGAAGCAUGAUCGUAAGGACAUGUGGAGCGCUUAGAAGUGAGAAUGCCGGUGUGAG
rnacentral:rRNA from 1 species